rnacentral:rRNA from 1 species
UAUGCAUAGGAUCUACCUAGUAGUAUAGGAUAGCCACUAGAAGUGGUGGGUAAUACUGUAUAAUCCCUGCGGGGGAAAGAUUUAUCGCUACAUGAUGAGCCUAUGUUAGAUUAGCUAGUUGGUGGGGUAAUGGCCUACCAAGGCAGUGAUCUAUAGCUGGUCUGAGAGGAUGAUCAGCCACACUGGAACUGAGACACGGUCCAGACUCCUACGGGAGGCAGCAGUGGGGAAUAUUGGACAAUGGGCGCAAGCCUGAUCCAGCUAUGCCGCGUGAGUGAGGAAGGCCUUAGGGUUGUAAAACUCUUUCAGUGGGGAAGAUAAUGACGGUACCCACAGAAGAAGUCCCGGCAAACUCCGUGCCAGCAGCCGCGGUAAUACGGAGGGGGCAAGCGUUGUUCGGAAUUAUUGGGCGUAAAGGGCAUGUAGGUGGUUUGGUAAGUUAAAGGUGAAAUGCCAGGGCUUAACCCUGGAGCUGCUUUUAAUACUGCCAGACUGGGUUCCGGGGAGA